rnacentral:rRNA from 1 species
GACGAACGCUGGCGGCGUGCUUAACACAUGCAAGUCGAACGGUAAGGCCCUUCGGGGUACACGAGUGGCGAACGGGUGAGUAACACGUGGGUGAUCUGCCCUGCACUUCGGGAUAAGCCUGGGAAACUGGGUCUAAUACCGGAUAGGACCACUGCCCGCAUGGGUGGUGGUGGAAAGCUUUUGCGGUGUGGGAUGGGCCCGCGGCCUAUCAGCUUGUUGGUGGGGUGAUGGCCUACCAAGGCGACGACGGGUAGCCGGCCUGAGAGGGUGACUGGCCACACUGGGAAUGAGAUACGGCCCAGACUCCUACGGGAGGCAGCAGUGGGGAAUAUUGCACAAUGGGCGCAAGCCUGAUGCAGCGACGCCGCGUGAGGGAUGACGGCCUUCGGGUUGUAAACCUCUUUCAGCACCGACGAAGCGCAAGUGACGGUAGGUGCAGAAGAAGGACCGGCCAACUACGUGCCAGCCGCCGCCGUAACAC